GAAAUAGGUUAUAGGCGAAUGGUGGAUGCCUUGGGAUAUUGAUGCGAUGAAGGACGUGGCGUGCCUGCGAUAAGCAUCGGGGAGCUGGCUAGCAAGCUUUGAUCCGGUGAUUUCCGAAUGGGAAAACCCAAUCAUGUUAAAACGUGAUUAUUUGCGUCGCAAGAUGCAAAAGCGCACCCGGUGAAGUGAAACAUCUCAGUAGCCGGAGGAAAAGAGAACAAUUGUUAUUCCCUUAGUAGUGGCGAGCGAAAAGGGAACAGCCCAAACCAAUUUUUAUAAUUGGGGUUGCAAGGGUUUAACGUCGGGAGCGCUUACAUGAACAAUUUAUUGUUUAUGUAAAUGUUUGCCGAGGGAGAGCAUUUAGGUAGAGUUGUUAAAAGAAGCACCCUGGAAAGGGGCGCCAUAGAAGGUAAUAGCCCUGUAUUUGAAAAUAACUUUACGCUCCUUGUUAGAUUUCUUAAGUACUGUCGGGAAUGAUAACCUGGCAGGAAACAGGCCGAACUAUCGGCCAAGGCUAAAUAAUCAAUAUCACCGAUAGUGAACCAGUACCGUGAGGGAAAGGUGAAAAGUAGGGGGUUGACCCCGGUGAAAUAGUACCUGAAACCAUUUGCUUACAAAGAGUCGGAGUGCUGAGGCGAAAGCCGAAGUAUGACGGCGUGCUUUUUGCAGAACGAGCCAACGAGUUUUAUUAUUCAGCUUGUCUAAGCCCUUAUGGGGCGCAGGCGUAGCGAAAGCGAGUGUUAAUAGCGCGAAUUUGCUGAAUACUAAAGACCCGAAGCCAGACGAGCUUACUAUGAGCAGGAUGAAUCCCGCCGAAAGGCGGGAGGAGGUCCGAACCGGUGAGGCGUGCAAUCCUCUCGGAUGACUUGUGGUAAGGAGUGAAAAGCUAAUCGAGUUUGGUAAUAGCUGGUUCUUCCCGAAACAGGUUUGGGCCUGGCGUCUCCAGCCAAAUCAUGGGGGUAGAGCACUAAAUAGAAUUCCUUGGAGUUUCUCCAGGUUUUCUAAUUAAACUCCGAAUACCAUGAUUUUUGUGGAGGCAGUUAGACUACGGGGGCUAAGCUCCGUGGUCAAAAGAGAAACAGCUCAGAUCAUAGUCUAAGGUCCCUAAAUUAAACUAAGUGCUAUUAAGGAAGUAUUUUGCCCUAGACAGGCAGGAAGUUAGCUUAGAGGUAGCUAUCUUUUAAAGAGUGUGUAACAACUCACUGUCCAAACUGACCUCUUUUGAGGUUGGAGGGGCGAAGUGCGCCAAAGAUUUCCGGGGCUAAGUUUAAUACCGAAGACAUGGAUGUCCCGCUUAGGCGGGACGUGGUAGGGAAGCAUUCUUAUUGCAGUGAAGCAGGAGGGUAACCGACUGUGGAGCGAUAAGAAGAGAGAAUGUUGGCCUGAGUAACCGCAAUGCAGGUGAAAGCCCUGCACACCGAAAGUCCAAGGUUUCCUUGGCAAUGGUAUUCAACCAAGGGUUAGGCGGUCCUAAGGCAAACCCGAAAGGGGCAGCUGAUGGACAGUUGGUUAAUAUUCCAACCCUUCUUUAUUUUUUCAAUAUGGUGCGGAAUUUAGUAUAUGAGGCGACUUAUUGGAUUGUCGUCGGCAGCAUAACGCAAGAAGUGCUGACGGGAAGUCGUGUUUACACGGCGAACCUCAUAAAGCAGGUUCCCUAGAAAAGCCGUAUUUAAAUAGAAUAGAGAAACCGUACCGCAAACCGACACAGGUGGACAAGCGUAAGUAUGCUAAGGUGAACGGGUGAAACCUCGUUAAGGAACUCGGCAAACAAGUGGCCGUAAGUUCGCAAUAUGGCCUGCCCGACCCGAAAGGGUUUUGGGCUGCAACUAACGUAUCUCAAGCGACUGUUUAUCAAAAACACAGCUCCCUGCUAACUCGUAAGAGGAUGUAUAGGGGGUGAGGCCUGACCAGUGUUGGAAUGUUAAGUUUGGGAGUCCAUGCCGCAAGGUAUGGGCCCACUGAAUGAAGCACCAAUGAACGUCGGCGAUAACUAUAAUCGUCCAAAGGUAGCGUAAUCCCUUGCCAGGUAAGUUCUGGCCCGCAUGAAUGGCUUAACGACUUGAGAACUGUCUCAACGAGGCGCCCGGUGAAAAUGCAGUAGCAGUGAAGAUGCUGCUUACCUGCGGCUAGACGGAAAGACCCCGGAAGCUUUACUGUAGUUAGAUAUUGGCUUAUGAUUUUUGAUGCGUAGAGUAGUGGGGAGGAUUUGAAACGGCAUUUUCGGAUGCCGCGGAUCCGCCAAUGAAACACCCAUCUUUAAAAAUUAUAAUUCUAAUUCACUUUACUGUGAUGACAGUGUUUAAUGGGCAGUUUAAGUGGGGCACUUGCCUUAACUCUUGCAAAUCAUAAACGCAUUUGCAAUGGGGCCAUUCGAAAGUAAUUUCGAAUGCAAACUCGACUAAUAUGCUGGAACAUCCGAGUAUCCCAAAAUACUUUUAGUACCACCGAUGGGUCGGUGGUACUGAGUGAAAAUUUUUGGGUGCGACCUCCUCCGUUAAAACUACGGAAGGUCAACGGACAAUCAGCAGGGAAUUAUUCGAAAAUUGAAAGUUGUGCUAUUAGGGAAGUUUUUACAAAAAGGACCAAAACAAUGCCAGACUUCACCGUAGUUGCUAUCACAUUCGUCGCGUCUCUUCUGUUUGCCUACUGGCUGUGGCGAAAAGGUCUGUCAAAGAAGGGGGAUUAAAAAGUAAUAACUUUCAAGGCGAAUCAAGGACGAUUCGCCACAACUUUCAAUUUUCGAAUAGACCCUCAACGACUACACGUCGAGUCCCUGUAAAAUUUACAGGGCAGUGAUAUAGUCUGAACUUUAUGGCGACAUAAAGAUUCGGUAAUGUUAAUUUUUAAAAUCUUUGGCGAGGUUUU
rnacentral:rRNA from 1 species